ensembl:misc_RNA 7SK 7SK RNA
GGAUGUGAGGGCGAUCUGGCUGCGACAUCUGUCACCCCAAUGAUCACCAGGAUUGAUUUGGCUGAUCUGCCUGGCUAGGCGGGUGUCUCCUUCCUCCCUCACAGCUCCAUGUGCGUCCCUCCCAAAGCUGCGUGCUCAGUCGAAGAGGACUCCGUCCACGUGCUCAGUCGAAGACCCUCCGUCUUCGGUCAAGGGUAUACGAGUAGCUGCGUUCCCCUGCUAGAACCUCCAAACAAGCUCUCAAGAAUAGGAAAGCUAUCAGGGGAGGGGAUGGGAUACAGAGUUCUGGUGGUGGGAACUGUGUGGAGUUGUGCCCCUCUUAUC